rnacentral:lncRNA from 1 species
UUUGUCUGCCUGCCUGACUAUCUCACGAUCACAAAUAUGUGCGCUUACACACACCUAUUACACCACACACACACUGAGGUACAUAUUACACCAUACACACACUGAGGUACAUAUUACACCAUACACACACGCGCUUACAUCAUACGCAUACACAUACGCACACGUGUCUUCGACCAAUAGUUUCGCAUGUGUAAGUGCGUGCGUAUGUAUAUGCCCGCCGUAUCGUUGUUGAUGCCAGUGUAAAGGGGUGUAGGCGUGCUUGUAGUAUAUUAGCGUGUACGUAUGUGUGUUUUGGUUCAUUAUAGUACACAAAAUGGCUACUGACAUGUUCUUGCCUGGUAGUAGUAUGAUACCAGCUACACUUGUGGAGCUUUCCGUUUCUUGCAGAAAACUGAUUGAUGCUGAUGUAUUUUCCAAGUCAGAUCCUAUGUGUGUGCUGUUUACACAGGAUCCUGGAAGUAAGAAAUGGACUGAGGUAAG